rnacentral:rRNA from 1 species
GGAUUGAACGCUGGCGGCAGGCCUAACACAUGCAAGUCGAGCGGUAGAGAGGUGCUUGCACCUCUUGAGAGCGGCGGACGGGUGAGUAAUGCCUAGGAAUCUGCCUAGUGGUGGGGGAUAACGUUCGGAAACGGACGCUAAUACCGCAUACGUCCUACGGGAGAAAGGCGGGGGACCUUCGGGCCUCGCCG